rnacentral:rRNA from 1 species
CUACGGGGGGCUGCAGUGGGGAAUAUUGCACAAUGGGCGCAAGCCUGAUGCAGCCAUGCCGCGUGUAUGAAGAAGGCCUUCGGGUUGUAAAGUACUUUCAGUAAGGAGGAAGGCAGUUGCGUUAAUAGCGUAAUUGUUUGACGUUACUUCAGAAGAAGCACCGGCUAACUCCGUGCCAGCAGCCGCGGUAAUACGGAGGGUGCGAGCGUUAAUCGGAAUUACUGGGCGUAAAGCGCAUGCAGGUGGUCUGUUAAGUCAGAUGUGAAAGCCCCGGGCUCAACCCGGGAUGGUCAUUUGAAACUGGCAGGCUAGAGUACUGUAGAGGGGGGUAGAAUUUCAGGUGUAGCGGUGAAAUGCGUAGAGAUCUGAAGGAAUACCGGUGGCGAAGGCGGCCCCCUGGACAGAUACUGACACUCAGAUGCGAAAGCGUGGGGAGCAAACAGGAUUAGAUACCCUUGUAGUC